rnacentral:misc_RNA from 1 species
AAAUAAAUCAAAACUUUCAACAACGGAUCUCUUGGUUCUGGCAUCGAUGAAGAACGCAGCGAAAUGCGAUAAGUAAUGUGAAUUGCAGAAUUCAGUGAAUCAUCGAAUCUUUGAACGCACAUUGCGCCCGCUAGUAUUCUGGCGGGCAUGCCUGUCCGAGCGUCAUUUCAACCCUCAGGCCCCCGGGCUUGGUGUUGGGGAUCGGCGAGCUUCCGCGCCCGCUGUCCCCUAAAUCUAGUGGCGGUCUUGCUUUGAAUCCCUAUGCGUAGUAGCACACCUCGCACGCGGAAACAGCGCGGCCACGCCGUAAAACCCCCAACUACUGAACGGUUGACCUCGGAUCAGGUAGGAAUACCCGCUGAACUUAAGCAUAUCAAUAAGCGGAGGAAAAGAAACCAACAGGGAUUGCCCUAGUAACGGCGAGUGAAGCGGCAACAGCUCAAAUUUGAAAUCUGGCCUUCGGGUCCGAGUUGUAAUUUGUAGAGGAUGCUUUUGGUGAGGUGCCUUCCGAGUUCCCUGGAACGGGACGCCAUAGAGGGUGAGAGCCCCGUCUGGUUGGACACCGAUCCUCUGUAAAGCUCCUUCGACGAGUCGAGUAGUUUGGGAAUGCUGCUCUAAAUGGGAGGUAUAUGUCUUCUAAAGCUAAAUAUUGGCCAGAGACCGAUAGCGCACAAGUAGAGUGAUCGAAAGAUGAAAAGCACUUUGAAAAGAGAGUUAAAUAGUACGUGAAAU